AGGAAGUAGUUGUCUGUUACGCGGCGUUCGGUAGACAUUGGUGCGAUUUGCUCUGUUUUCCAUGGCGGGAGCCUCAUCACCGGCGAGUUUGAGAGCCUCUCGUAGCCGUCGGCACGGGAAGGAUACGGUUCGAUCCGAUCUCUUCAAAAACGCUACAAUUCCUUUCGUAUUCGCGCUAAUUCUCGCUGAUGCAAUCCUCGUCGCACUUAUCAUCGCUUAUGUUCCAUACACGAAGAUCGAUUGGGAUGCUUACAUGUCACAGGUUAGUGGGUUUCUCGGGGGAGAGAGAGACUAUGGGAACCUGAAAGGUGAUACAGGGCCAUUGGUUUACCCGGCCGGUUUCCUCUAUGUUUACUCUGCAGUGCAGAGCUUAACUGGAGGGCAAGUCUACCCAGCUCAGAUUCUUUUUGGUGUUCUCUACAUUGUCAAUCUGGCUAUCGUCCUCUUCAUCUAUGUCAAGACUGAUGUGGUGCCAUGGUGGGCGCUAAGUCUACUAUGUUUAUCCAAGAGAAUACAUUCAAUCUUUGUUCUCCGUCUCUUUAAUGAUUGUUUUGCCAUGACUCUCCUACAUGCGUCUGUGGCUCUCUUUCUCUGUCGUAAAUGGCACCUCGGGAUGGUUGUUUUCAGUGGAGCUGUUUCGAUAAAGAUGAAUGUACUUUUGUAUGCUCCACCUUUGUUACUUCUGCUACUAAAGGCCAUGAAUAUAGUUGGAGUGGUGUCCGCUUUAGCUGGUGCAGCUCUUGUUCAGAUACUCGUGGGAUUGCCCUUUCUGAUCACAUAUCCGGUUUCAUACAUAACAAACGCUUUUGAUCUUGGGCGUGUUUUUAUUCACUUCUGGUCUGUUAACUUCAAAUUUGUACCAGAACGACUUUUUGUGUCCAAAGAGUUUGCAGUAUGCUUGCUCGUUGUUCAACUUUGUCUUCUUGCCGCGUUUGCGAAUUAUAAAUGGUGCAAGCAUGAAGGCGGGAUAAUAGGCUUCAUGCGUUCUAGGCAUUUUUUCUUGACGCUUCCGUCUUCACUCUCGUUCAGUGAUGCCUCAACCUCAGGGAUUCCUACGAAAGAACAUAUUGUCACGGCCAUGUUUGUUGGGAAUUUCAUUGGAAUUGUAUGUGCUCGCUCUCUGCACUACCAGUUCUACUCAUGGUACUUCUAUUCGCUGCCUUAUCUGCUAUGGAAAACACUGUUUCCCACUUGGCUACGGUUGGUCUUGUUCGUUGGUAUAGAGCUCUGUUGGAACGUGUAUCCAUCAACACCAGCCUCCUCGGGUUUGCUAAUGUGUCUACACUUAACCACCCUAAUGGGUCUCUGGUUUGCUCCUUCAGACAAUCCUUACCAAGUCAAAGAAGACAAAAACUCCCAAAGACACAAAAAGCAUAUUUCUGCAAAUCUUGGUCUAUUAAAACAUGUCUUUUCAGUACGAAAUGUCUUAAAAAAAAAAAACACUACAAGCCGCGCGUGAUAUUCUUGUCGUUCCCAUCUCAAUCUUCUUCUCCUUGGCGGACCCUGUUUCCAAUAGCUAACAAUGGUGGUGAGCUAACAAUGAUGGUGACUGGUAAGUCCAAUCCAAUGUGGGAGUGGAUUGGAUCAAGCUGAAUCUAGAGGAAGCUAAUUAAAAGCGACCAUAUAAAGAUCUCCAAAGCUCACUAAGGACUCGAGUUUUUCAAUUGUAGUUACAUUUAUGGUCUGGUGACGCUUCUACUAAAUAUUGGUAGAGAAGUAUCUUUGUUAAAACAUUGGUUGGUGGUGGCAAUGGAAGUUUGACGCCGAAAAUAGAAAGGCAUGAGCUCUUUUUCGUAGGGCUUUGCUUCACCUUGUCUAUCUGUUUUAAUUUCUUCUACUUAUACCAUGAGCCAUCUUCAUUUCCUUUUCUUUCUGUUAAUAAAUAAGAUAAGACUCGGUGAUAACAUAGUCUUGAUACAUAUGACAUUCAGUGUUGUUCUGCAUCCAUUUAAUCUAAAGUUGCCUUACAUAGACAACUUCUUGUUACAA